AUUGAACGCUGGCGGCAGGCCUAACACAUGCAAGUCGAGCGAGCGGCGGACGGGUGAGUAAUGUAUGGGGAUCUGCCCGAUAGAGGGGGAUAACUACUGGAAACGGUGGCUAAUACCGCAUACCAUCAGAUGAACCCUUAUGGGAUUAGCUGGUAGGUAAGGUAACGGCUUACCUAGGCGACGAUCCCUAGCUGGUCUGAGCGGAUGAUCAGGCACACUGCGACUGAGACACGGCCCAGACUCCUCCGGGAGGCAGCAGUGGGGAAAAUGGCGCAAUUGGGGCAACCCUGACGCAGCCAUGCCGCGUGAAUGAAGAAGGCCUUCGGAUUGUAAAGUUCUUCGUGCGAGGAGGCGUUACCCGCAGAAGAAGCACCGGCUAACUCCGUGCCAGCAGCCGCGGUAAUAC
rnacentral:rRNA from 1 species